rnacentral:rRNA from 1 species
CAGCAGCCGCGGUAAUACCGGCGGCCCGAGUGGCGGUCACUAUUAUUGGGCUUAAAGCGUCCGUAGCCGGGGUGGGAAGUCCUCCGGGAAAUCUGGCCGCUUAAAGGUCAGAAUGCCGGAGGAUACUCCCAGCCUAGGGAGCGGGGGAGGCCGAGGGUAUUCCCGGGGGAGGGGUGAAAUCCUAUAAUCCCGGGAGGACCACCUGUGGCGAAGGCGCUCGGCUGGGACGCGUCCGACGGUGAGGGACGAAGGCCAGGGGAGCAAACCGGAUUAGAUACCCGGGUAGUCCUGGCUGUAAACGAUGCGGACUUUGUGUCGGACAAGCUAUGAGCUUGUCCGGUGCCGUAGGGAAGCCGUUAAGCCCGCCGCCUGGGGAGUACGGCCGCAAGGCUGAAACUUAAAGGAAUUGGCGGG